GCAGGAUGGAUGGGAGAGAGAGAAAGAAAACAUGGGGUGGGUGGGUGGAUGACAUAUGGGGUAUGCGGGACAUGCAACACACACAUAAGGACGAGGAUGACGCAUAAAACGUCCGCUUUGUGUCUGCUUGCGGCCCAAAUGUGGCCCAAAUUCGAUUGAGUCUUUUCGUUGGGCCAUCGUCUUUGUGUGCGAAGGUCAAAAAAACGUAAACAAAUAAAAUGGGUCAUGCGAUUGGAGUUGCU
rnacentral:lncRNA from 1 species